AACACAUUCCUUAGAUCCACUCUGGGGGCGAGUUCUCUGCCAGGGCUUGCAGAGACGUGCCCAGCAACUUUCUAGGUUGUACUGUCUGGAGUGCUUGAGUCAUUAGUGUGUGAGAGCAGUAUACCUCCACUGGUGGUAAGUCGCGCUCUUGUCUGCCUGUGUGGUGUGCUG
rfam:Lingula anatina scaffold310, whole genome shotgun sequence.